ensembl:lncRNA
CACAAAUUCAGCUGUGAUCUGAUUCUGGAAUUCAACAUCAUCUGGCACCCUCCUUGGCACCUUCUUAGCAUCCUUUUCGCUUAUUUAUGUGACCUUCAGACUAAUGUAGAUCUGUCUUUCUUCUUAAGGCUUUCUCUGGUGGUGUUUAUUCCUGGUGAUGCACAAUUCUAUGAAAUGGCGGACUUCUCUCCCCUCCUUCUGUCCAAAUGUUCCCAGUGAAUGCGUCUAAUGCUACUUAGUUUUAUCUUGGUGAUGAUUGGUCAUUGCAACCGAAUAGACGCUCUGAACUCAAAAUCCUCAAAUUCUGUUACUGUAAUAUCGUUGGCGUAUGUUUGCAUCCUGAACAUUCUUAUCAUAUGUGUUUAUCAAGUGUCCCAGCAGUUCCCGUUCCUUCUCUAAUCUGGAAAUUGUGUGUCACAUUAGCUCAGUGUUUGUGGAUUUCUUCGUUGUAUGUGUGUGCCUAUACUUCUCCUCCUUGAUGUUCCUCUGUUGGAACAUCUGUUGUUGUCAGCGGUUUGGUCAGAUGACACGUAGCUGUCAUCCUAGACGUGUGAUUAAGCUUCACGCUCCCUCCUUGGACCUCGGAUCACCUCAGUUCCUGUGAGCAGACUGCUCUGCUAACCGGAGGUCCCAUUAGGACAAGAUUCCCCAAUCGGCUGUUGAAUAGAGAAGCACAAGUGGUGCAGCUAUGUGUGUGGGUGUGUGUAGGUGUGUCUAGAUGUGCGUGUGAGUGUGUGUGUGUGUGUGCUCUCCCAAUUCCUGUUGCUCUUUCUUCUGGUUUACCAAACUCUUCAAGCCAACAAGUUCUACCAUCUAGUGUGUGCAUAUUUAAACAUAACUGGAACUCAACAUUUCACCCACUUAUUUCCCAGUUUUAGCUAUUUCUUUUAAUGUGGAGUAAUUGUAUCAUCUGUGUGUCUCAUCAGUCCUUGUGUCAGUGUAUGAGAAGAGCAAUGUCAUUGCACAUUCGUUCCAGGAAGAAAAGUCAUGUUGAAUCUUCCUGCGUUGGCCAUCGUCUGCUGUUAUCCCUAAAAUGCCACUUGAGUAGCUAAACUCUAACAUCUAGUGUUUUCCUAAAAA